rnacentral:rRNA from 1 species
AUUGAACGCUGGCGGCAGGCCUAACACAUGCAAGUCGAGCGGAUCGGCGGACGGGUGAGUAAUUCCUAUGAAUCUGCCUGUUAGUGGGGGAUAACGUCCGGAAACGGGCGCUAAUACCGCAUCCUCUCAGAUGAGCCUAGGUCGGAUUAGCUAGUUGGUGGGGUAAAUGCCUCACACGGCGACGCUCCGUAACUGGUCUGAGAGGAUGAUCAGUCACACGGGAACUGAGACACGGUCCAGAAUCCUACGGGAGGCAGUAUGGGGGAAUAUUGGACAAUGGGCGCAAGCCUGAUGCAGCCAUGCCGCGUGUGUGAAGAAGGUCUUCGGAUUGUAAAGCACUUUAAGUUGGGAGGCGUUACCAACAGAAUAAGCACCGGCUAACUUCGUGCCAGCAGCCGCGGUAAUUC